CACACACACAGUAGUUUCUCCGGGCUGCAGGAGGAUGAGGCAUCGAGGCGAGGCGAGGGAGGACAGCGACAUGCUCAUCGCCAUGGAAACGGAGGCGGAGAAAAACUACGGCAGUGUCGCCACGAAUGCACCUGUCCAGCCUCCGGACAGGAACGUCUUCAGUGACGGGUCGACUCGAGUCG